rnacentral:rRNA from 1 species
AUUGAACGCUGGCGGCAGGCUUAACACAUGCAAGUCGAGCGGAGUGAUGGUGCUUGCACUAUCACUUAGCGGCGGACGGGUGAGUAAUGCUUAGGAAUCUGCCUAUUAGUGGGGGACAACAUCUCGAAAGGGAUGCUAAUACCGCAUACGUCCUACGGGAGAAAGCAGGGGAUCACUUGUGACCUUGCGCUAAUAGAUGAGCCUAAGUCGGAUUAGCUAGUUGGUGGGGUAAAGGCCUACCAAGGCGACGAUCGGUAGCGGGUCUGAGAGGAUAAUCCGCCACACUGGGACUGAGACACGGCCCAGACUCCUACGGGAGGCAGCAGGGGGGAAUAUUGGACAAUGGGGGGAACCCUGAUCCAGCCAUGCCGCGUGUGUGAAGAAGGCCUUAUUGUUGUAAAGCACUUUAAGCGAGGAGGAGGCUUACCUAGUUAAUACCUGGGAUAAGUGGACGUUACUCGCAGAAUAAGCACCGGCUAACUCUGUGCCAGCCGCCGCGGUAA